rnacentral:rRNA from 1 species
AACGAACGCUGGCGGCAUGCCUAACACAUGCAAGUCGAACGAACCCUUCGGGGUUAGUGGCGCACGGGUGCGUAACGCGUGGGAACCUGCCCUUAGGUUCGGAAUAACUCAGAGAAAUUUGAGCUAAUACCGGAUAAUGUCUUCGGACCAAAGAUUUAUCGCCUUUGGAUGGGCCCGCGUAGGAUUAGGUAGUUGGUGGGGUAAAGGCCUACCAAGCCGACGAUCCUUAGCUGGUCUGAGAGGAUGAUCAGCCACACUGGGACUGAGACACGGCCCAGACUCCUACGGGAGGCAGCAGUGGGUAAUAUUGGACAAUGGGCGAAAGCCUGAUCCAGCAAUGCCGCGUGAGUGAUGAAGGCCUUAGGGUUGUAAAGCUCUUUUACCAGGGAUGAUAAUGACAGUACCUGGAGAAUAAGCUCCGGCUAACUCCGUGCCAGCAGCCGCAGUAAAAC